CCUACGGGAGGCAGCAGUGGGGAAUAUUGGACAAUGGGGGAAACCCUGAUCCAGCGACGCCGCGUGAGUGAAGAAGUAUUUCGGUACGUAAAGCUCUAUCAGCAGGAAAGAAAAUGACGGUACCUGACUAAGAAGCCCCGGCUAACUACGUGCCAGCAGCCGCGGUAAUACGUAGGGGGCAAGCGUUAUCCGGAUUUACUGGGUGUAAGGGGAGCGUAGACGGCAGAGCAAGUCUGGAGUGAAAUGCCGGGGCCCAACCCCGGACCUGCUCUGGAAACUGUGAAGCUGAGGUGCAGGAGGGGUAAGCGGAAGUCCGGGGGAGGCGGUGAAAUGCGUAGAUAUAAGCAGAACCCCGAUUGCGAAGGCAGCAUGCCGGCUUCCGACUGACGCUGAAGCACGAAAGCGUGGGGAUCGAACAGGAUUAGAUACCCUGGUAGUC
rnacentral:rRNA from 1 species